rnacentral:piRNA from 1 species
UGUAAGGUCUGCUUCCUUGAGCCU